ACUGGUUGCAUCCAGGUUAAGUAAUUCUCCUAGAUUCACAUCUUGCUUAUUGGUCACUUAGCUUAAAAUAUUCAGCCCGUAUCGUGUACACUUUGUUUUUGGUCUCUUUCUCUCUCUUUCAGGCGGCUAUUCUCCAUCAUGUCGUACUUUUCUUCUUCUACAACAUAAUUCCUGGACUUCUCUCUGCUUCUAUGCGAAUUGUAAAGGGCAUGAUUUUAAGAGUGAUUUUCUUCUCUCGUAUCGAUCGAACAUCACUGGUGCAGGGUUUCCAGGCUUGGGACAAAGCUUUUGUCGCAUACCUUGGUUUUGUGACUGUGCUAGUUGCCCACAGACAACCCGUGAUGCUGGUGUUCUGUCAGUUGCUUAUUGACAGA